rfam:Magnaporthe poae ATCC 64411 unplaced genomic scaffold supercont1.5, whole genome shotgun sequence.
ACAUACGACCACAGGGAGGAAGGAAAACACGGGAUCCCGUCCGCUCUCCCCUAGUUAAGCCGCUGACCGCCGGACUAGUAGCUGGGUCGGUGACGACCAGCGAAUCCCCGGUGUUGUAUGUG